rnacentral:rRNA from 1 species
AUGUAUGGAGAGUUUAGAUGGGAGAAUAAACACUUGUCCUGGUCACGUAUAAGACAAUUACAUCAAGCGCAUACCUUGCCCUGGCUCCUGGUGGGAGAUCUCAAUGAGAUCAUGUAUUUACAUGAGAAGGAGGGUGGCAAUCCGCGACCAGUCCGAUACAUGCAGGCAUUUCAGGAUGUUGUAGAAGAAUGUGCAUUGCAUGAUCUUGGGUACAUUGGCGACCAAUACACUUGGCGCAGAGGAAUGAUACGGAAAAGACUUGAUAGAGGCCUUGUGAAUGAUUUAUGGACUUCCCAAUUCCCCAUCCAGCAUUAUGGAAUUUGGAAUUUAAUCACUCGGAUCACAGACCUCUCCUGGUGGACACUGACUAUUAUGUGCAGCUACCAAACGGCACGAAUGUAUAUGUAA